CCGAAAAUUUUGAACUGAUUCGGUACACUUUUUUCCUCCAAAACCCGCAAAAUCUGAACCAGAUGCACCCGGCCCAUGUGCACCCCUAAAAAAUACUAGACUUUGGGGAUCUAGUUACAAACACAUAAAGAUUGGGACUUAAGAGCAGGUUGAGGUUUUUAUGGUCCGUGGGCUGGUCGUACUGAUUUCCAGAGUAUGAGUAUGGAGGAAGGACCAUCCUCCCCAGGAACAUCAGCGGUAGAGCUAAGAGACUGCAUGGAAGAACUCCUCAAGUUCACACUGGAGUCCCCCAUCGAUUUGGGCUUUUCUCCCAGCCUUCUUCUCCGUUCCCACCCCCAAAUCACUCCAGAAACCCCAGAUCCUUUUUACAAGCGCUUAGCAUCAGUUUUGUGUGAGUGCAUCGAUUCCGGAGGAUUGGGGGACCUGAAGAAUAAGGAAGAGUGGAAUGAGUUGGUGCAGGAAAAGGGUUUCGAACUUCUUAAUAUUUUGAAGACUGUUGAUUUUGAACUUCAUGUUCAAGAGCCUUUCUUUACACAACUAAGAGUUGGCUUAAAGACAGUUGAAGGAAGGUGUGCUGUUGGUGACUACAAUCGGCUAAGAUCUAAAAUGCAGUUUGAUUUGCUUCAACUGUCAAGUUCUGGCAGCAUUUUACAUGAGAGCAGGACCAUAAACGUUCGUAGAUAUGCUUCAUUCUAUGAAAUGUUAGAAGCAGAGAGUCUUGCAAAAGUCCUCCCCGGAGUGAAAACCAUUCAAGAAGGUGUCCAAGUUUACAGGAAGUUUUAUAGUGAGGAGCAAGAACAACAAAACGGCGUCCUUGCAAUACAUGUUACAAAGCCGGCCUCACAGCUAUAUAUUCCUUUGGCUCAGAUACUCUCGAAAGAACUUGUCCUCGAGAUGUGUUGGAAAGUUGGAAUUCGUCUGGUGCGUGGUAUUCAGAAAUUUCGGAGAUGUUGAAUGUUGGAGAGAUGCGAAGGUGAGAUGGAAUGCCUAGGAGGUAAGCAUUAUCAUUGAUUUUCUUUAGAAUUUGACAGGGACCAAAUUUCCUAUCAUGGAAUUUGCUGCAGACUCCAGCAGGGGAUCGACUCUUGCGCAAAUAAACCAUAACCAAAUCUCCUUCUUGGAACUCUUUGAAUCUCCUCUUAGUGUCUGCAGUUGUUUUGUACUUGUCGUUGGCUUGUUGCAAAUGUUGAAUCACCUCCAAAUGAAUACGGGUGAUUUUAUCUGCUGCUAGUUCAACCUCUUGCUGCAGUCCCGGUAUUGGGAGUAGUUUUACCAAGUCGGGGUCAUUUUAGGAGGACUUAGAUACACAAUCUCCAAUGGUGACUAACCAGUAGAGUAGUUUUGCAUAUUGUUGAAUGCAAAUUCAGCUUGUGCUAAAGCAACAUCCCAUUGUUUUGGAUGGGAACCACUGAUGCAUCGAACAAGGUUGCAAAGAAUAUGGUUGGUAACUUCAGUUUGGCCAUCCGUUUGUGUGUGGCUGGUGGUGCUAAAGCAGAGCUCUGUAGUGACUUUCUUCCAUAGUGUAUGUAGCGUUCCAAAACUCCUAAUAAGGAUUAGUAUGGUGAUUGGUGAGCCUGAAGGGUAUUUGAUUUUAAUCGAAUAUGUGUGAUUAUGUGUAUUAUAUGAGUUAUAUUAUGAUAUGAAUGUUUAUGUAUGUUUACGUGUAUUAUAUGUGCUUAAAGACCAACUUUUGUUAUAAAAUGACAUUUUAGUAAUUUUGACUUGUCAAUGGUAUAAUUAUAAUUUUGUAUGCUAGGUGUUUGAGAACACAUUAUUAUGUGAAUAUAUUUGAGAUAUUCGGCACGAGUCGAUCCUUUUAGGCAAAUUAGCGAAAAAGUCACAACGGGGAUAAAUACCCAGCUCGGGGUGAGCCUAGGAGUAAUUUGGCAAAACUACCGGGAUUUAUUGGUAAAUGGGAUUAAUUGGGAGAAUAAUUGGAAUUAAUGAUUUAACUUGGAAUUAGUGGUGAAAUUUGAGGUUUAGGGUAAUGUAGGUGAAAUGACCAAAAUGCCCUUAAAGUUUGGUUUGGAGGACAAAUUAAGGGUAAGGGAAAAAUGGUAUUUUUGACCAUUAGACUAAGUAAAGAUUCAAUAGGCUGAGUACUCUGGGACAUUCACAUGUAUGCUCUCUCCCUCUCACCUAGUUCCUUCUUGAAAGGCGUUUUGAAGUUGGAGCAUAUCUAAGCUAAGUUAAGGGGAUUUCUUUUGAUGCAUCUAGGGAGUUCUAGUGGAGAAAUGAAGUUGAUUGAAGGUAGGAGCUGCUAAGGGAUCAUCAAGAAGCUGGGGAUUUUGAAUUCAUCACCGAGGUAUGGAUCACUGAAGCUUGUUUCAUAUGUUCUUCAUAGUUCUUGAGGAAAUUUGUGGGUCUUGAAUGAAAUUCUAAAUUCUGGGCUUCUAGAGGGUUUGUGUAAGUCUAAUGGUGUAAAAACUGCUUAAGCUAUCGAUUUUAAGAUUGUAUUAGGUCUGAAUUUUGGGUUUGGCUGUUGAAUUCUUGAAUUGGAGAAAAGCUUGAGUUUCAAAAACUCAAAGUGAUGAUUUUGGGAUUUUUGUGUCUUUGAACGUUCUGAUAUUGUUUUUGUGUUCUUUGGCACUUGGGUAACUUAUAUUUGGGUCAAGAUUUCGUUAAAAUCUGGUUGGAAACUUGAAUUGAUGAGUUUUGUUGGUCUUAGGUCGGUUAGGGGUGGUUUUGGGUGGGAGAAAUCGCAGAAAAAGAAACCCAAAAUUCUGGGUUUGUGUGGUGGCACCCCUGCGCUGAAGCAGGAGAAUUUUCGGUGUCUCUGUUGCUUCUGGGUGUAGCAAUGCUAGGGGGUGGUGCCCCUGUGCUAGUGCAACUUCAAGAUAUGUUUUUUUUUUUUAGUUUUGAGAAAAUCUUGGGGGCUCGGGGGACGAUUCCAUCACACGAAUUGAUGGAAUUGGAAGUCCCGAGAGCUUGAGAAUAGUUGUGGAAUCCGUAUUCGAGAUUAGUUCUUAAUGAAGAUAUUGUUUAUAUUGUGACUAGGAUUACUGCAAGGCUCGGGAAAGGUAUUGUGCUUGGGGUCAUAUCACUACUUGCACAAGACUUGAGGUAAGGGCAAAGGUAAACUAGACCAGCCAUGAGUUGGAGAGCUCUGGGGGCGACGUGUACAUACUCAGUUUGCUCGACCACCACUGCCGUGAUUAUUUUGAAGGCUAGGGUUGAGUUCAGUUUUGCCUCUUAGAUGGUGUAGGAAAAUGAGCAUGGAAGGCGGGUUGAAUUCGUGGCAGCUUGGCAUGUGUAUUAGGGAUGGACUGAUUGAAUGGACUGCUGGAAGAUCGAGGAUGAAGUUAUUUUAAGUCUUUAAUUUAUGUAUUUAUUUUCCACAUAUAGUUUUGGACAAUUAAUUAAAGAUUAUGUUUUCUUUAUGUUUUUAUGUAUUAACAAUGGGAUCCCAUAUCGUAUUUUGGAUUUUUGAUAAAGUUCUAAUAUUUUAUGUAUAUAUGUAUUCCAAAUUAGUAGUUAUAUUUAUUAGUUUUUAAUA